AAUACGUCUCGCCUUGACGGUACCUCCUUAGCAAGCACCGGCUAACUCCGUGCCAGCAGCCGCGGUAAUACGGAGGGUGCAAACGUUGCUCGGAAUUAUUGGGCGUAAAGCGCACGUAGGCGGUCCGCUAAGUCGGAUGUGAAAGCCCUCGGCUUAACCGAGGAAGUGCAUCCGAAACUGACGGGCUAGAGUACGGAAGAGGGUUUCGGAAUUCCCGGUGUAGAGGUGAAAUUCGUAGAUAUCGGGAGGAACACCAGUGGCGAAGGCGGAAACCUGGGCCGAUACUGACGCUGAGGUGCGAAAGCGUGGGGAGCAAAACAGGAUUAGAUACCCUGGUAGUCCACGCCGUAAACGAUGAGCGCUAGGUGUUGGGGGUAUUGACCCCCCCAGUACCGCAGCUAACG
rnacentral:rRNA from 1 species